CUACGGGCGGCAGCAGUGAGGAAUAUUGCACAAUGGGGGGAACCCUGAUGCAGCAACGCCGCGUGGAGGAUGACGCAUUUCGGUGUGUAAACUCCUUUUAUAUGUCAAGAAAAUGACGGUAGCAUAUGAAUAAGCACCGGCUAACUCCGUGCCAGCAGCCGCGGUAAUACGGAGAGGUGCAAGCGUUACUCGGAAUCACUGGGCGUAAAGGACGCGUAGGCGGUUUGGAAAGUCAGGUGUGAAAUCCUACAGCUUAACUGUAGAACUGCACUUGAAACUUCUAAUCUAGAGUAUGGGAGGGGGAGAUGGAAUUAGUGGUGUAGGGGUAAAAUCCGUAGAUAUCACUAGGAAUACCUAAAGCGAAGGCGAUCUCCUGGAACAUUACUGACGCUAAGGCGUGAAAGCGUGGGGAGCAAACAGAAUUAGAUACCCGUGUAGUC
rnacentral:rRNA from 1 species